ACAAUGGUGAGAAUUUCUUUGUCUUCAACAUAUCUACAAACUAAGUGGUCGAACGGCAGUGAGAGCAGUUUGUUUUGGAUUUUAUUUCAAGGGGACAUUGCUGUUGAUGUCUUAUCUUUGUUUUGCCAGCACUUUCUUUGUUGAUAAAAAACAAUGCCAACUUUUAUUUAUGAGACGAUAGCUGUUUUUCCAUCGUGGCGUGGCGUGCUCCAUUGUGACAUAUCUGCAGACCAAAUGUGUCUACCUUUCUGUUAGCAAAGAACAACCGGAUAAAUUUAUAACUCUUUUUUUUUUAAUGUCAUACACAAAAGAAACCUAAAAACUAAGAAGUCAUUAGAAUGGAAUUUGGAACUCUAAUUCCAUCGUAUCCAUGAUGUCUAUUAUAAAUUCCAUGCCGUGUCCAAGAGAAGGACUUUAUAUAUUAUAUGCCAGUAUAUUUCUUAUGAUCUGAUGUUGUUUCUUUCUCUGUUUUUAGAGUUGUCAAUAUACCACCAUGGUGAAAUCUCCGCUCUCCAGUAGCAAAAAAUGCAAGCCUACACUUGGUUUGCUGCUGAAAAUGUAACUUAGCAGACUUCUCAAAGACCAGCAUGGCAUGGAACUGGAUUGCUGUACACACUGCUUAAAUCAGUGUUGACCAAAUAUUCUUACACAUCAUGAGGCUUCCCAAGAGAUGAGACACAAAUGUUGAAUAUAACAGAAGUUGACCUCAAAAGGAAAAACAUUUCACAACCAAAUGAAUAAGUAGCCUUCUGCACUGUCCAGUUGUUCACUUGGAAUAUCAGACUUCAAGAAAUUGUUAGAUUAGUGGAUUUUGAAGUUAUUUUGAGAAUGAAGUGCAAACUCUAACAUAACAAAUAAAAUGAUAUAUGACUGUGAAAGCAUACAUGGAAAACUAUAUAUGUGUGAAAACCAGUUUGGACUUAAUGCUUCUGGCUUUUUUUUGAAAUGCCAUCAAACCAAAUUCUUGAAAUACUUCUGCAAAGGGCUGAUUUUGAAAAAAGUGUAACAAUGAAUGGAACAGCAAUAUCUGAUGCAGAUAUUAUGGCUGAAUCAUAUGCAGAUCCAGGUUCAGGCUUGCCUCCUGGGGGAGGCCCGCCACCUCCACCACCACCACCAUCUAUAUCUGGCAGCUCCGUCCUACCUCCUGGUGCUCUCAACCAAACUUCUGCGACCAGUGGAGGUGGUGGUGGGGCUAGUGGUGUUAGCAGCAGCAGCAGCAGUAGUAGUAGUAAU